AGAGUUUGAUCCUGGCUCAGAAUCAACGCUGGCGGCGCGCCUAACACAUGCAAGUCGAGCGAGAAAGGGGGCAACCCUGAGUAAAGCGGCGUACGGGUGAGUAACACGUAGGUAUCCACCUCUUAGUGGGGAAUAACUCGGGGAAACCUGAGCUAAUACCGCAUAAGUCCGAGAGGAGAAAGCAGCAAUGCGCUGAGAGAGGAGCCUGCGGCUGAUUAGCUAGAUGGCGGGGUAAUGGCCCACCAUGGCAACGAUCGGUAGCCGGCCUGAGAGGGCACACGGCCACACUGGCACUGAAACACGGGCCAGACUCCUACGGGAGGCAGCAGUGGGGAAUCUUGCACAAUGGAGGAAACUCUGAUGCAGCGACGCCGCGUGGACGACGAAGCCCUUCGGGGUGUAAAGUCCUUUCGACCGGAACGAUAAUGACGGUACCGGUGGAAGAAGCUGCGGCUAACUACGUGCCAGCAGCCGCGGUAAUACGUAGGCAGCAAGCGUUGUUCGGAAUUACUGGGCGUAAAGAGUUCGUAGGCGGUGCGGUAAGUUUGGUGUGAAAUCUCCCGGCUCAACUGGGAGGGUGCGCUAGAUACUGCCGUGCUCGAGUAUAGGAGAGGUAAGCGGAAUUCCUGGUGUAGCGGUGAAAUGCGUAGAUAUCAGGAGGAACACCUGUGGUGUAGACGGCUUACUGGACUAUAACUGACGCUGAGGAACGAAAGCGUGGGUAGCAAACAGGAUUAGAUACCCUGGUAGUCC
rnacentral:rRNA from 1 species